ACUCCUGACCUCAUGAUCCGCCCACCUCAACCUCUCAAAAGUGCUGGGAUUACAGGUGUGAGCCACCCCAUCCGGCCCCUAUUACUUCAAUUGAUGAUUGAUCUUGGGUAAGUUGCUUGCCUCCUCUGUGUCAAUUUACUCGUCUGUAAAACAGGAUAUCUACUUCUUAGUAUUGUUCAGAAGACCAAACGGAGAAAUACAGUUGUUGUGCAUUGUCUCGGUAUCUAGAAAAAUGUCUGGCACACAGUAGGUGCUCAAUUAAUGUUAGCUAACUGUGAUCUCUUGUUAGCUGAUGUUUCUCUAAUAGUAGAUUCUUAGCCAAGACACUUCCACUCUCUGGCCUUUUGUGCUGUACAACAUUAUCCAUCAAGGACUGGGUGGAAAAAACCUAGUUCCUUUUGCCUCUAGUGCCUCUAGUAAAAUGAAAGAGUUGGGCUGGUGGAUAUCUAAGAGUCUGUCAAUACUGAGAGUCCCUUCUAACCCAGGUCCCUCCCUGAGGAAAUCCCCAUCAUGACAAGCACUCAGAGAAGUUGGUUGGUACAGAGUUUCUCUGCUGGUUACCCCAGGUGUGGUGUGGACCCCAGAAGGAUGACAGUUUGAAUCCAAGGGCAGUCCCCUUCCUGGCACAGCAAGCAAAAUAAAGUGAAGCCCCUGGAGGCUCAGGCUCCACAGCAAGACCACAGAGAAGACCAGCCCUCUCCCAUUGCCACAAAGACAAGAGAUAGCUUGAAAGAAGACAGCUAAAAGUGAAAUGAGCCAGGCAUGGUGGCGGGCACCUCUGUAAU
rnacentral:lncRNA from 1 species